rnacentral:lncRNA from 1 species
UGGGUGUAGUGGCUCACGUCUGUAAUCCCAGCACUUUGGGGGGCCGAGGUGGGUGGAUCACUUGAGGUCAGGAGUUCGACUUGUAGUCCCAACUACUCGGGAGGCUGAGGCAGGAGAAUUGCUUGAACCCGGGAGGUGGAGGUUGCAGUGAGCUGAGAUGGUGCCACUGCACUCCAGCGUGGGCAACAGAGCAAGAUUCCAUCUCAAAUAAAAUAAAAUAAAAAAUAAAAACAACAAAUACUGAAAUCAAUUAUAUGCAAUUAUUGAUUGAUUGCUUAGAGCUUAACAGACUAGAUCCUGUGGAGUUUUCUUUCUAUCUGCUAGACUGGGGUGUCUCGAGAGAAGGAACCUUGAUGCUUUCCUAUGUAAAAUUGUCAUACCCCGAAAGUGCCAGGUACAAAGAUGACAGUGAAUUCAUGUUUCUUGUUUAAUUCUGAAAGUUAUAGUCUAGACAUAAGUUACACUAGAGGAUUAGAAUAUAUAAUAAAGUACGAAUUAUGUGAUAUGAACACUGAAUCAGUUUAAAAUAUUUUUGAAGCCAGGAG